AGCUUUGCCUCUUUCGAUCUUCGGGGAACUAGAGGAAGAUGAAGAAUCAGGUGCGGGCGAUCCAUCUUUUGGCGAUGGUGGCGCUAGCUUUUUCUCUAGGAAAAAUGUUGAUUCUGUAAAGAAGGGAUCAGGUUUAAAUGUGAAUGAUUUGGUUGCUAAUUUAUAUAAACAGAGUGAUCAUAAAAAUGAGUAUUUACUAGAUUUGAAAGGAUCGAAUUCUGUAGACAAAACGAAUAAGAACGCAAAAAAUUCAGAUUUGAAUAUAAGUUUUCUGAAUUUAGGUGCAGUCGAACCUAAUUCGAAUGCACGCUCAUCAGAUUCUAGUUCGAAUUGGAUAUAUUCGAAUGCCAAUGAUUUGAACGAGAAUGGUAAAGAUGAGCUGAAAUUGAAUUCACAGUUGUUGAAUUUGGAUUGGGAUCCAUUGAAU
rnacentral:misc_RNA from 1 species